rnacentral:rRNA from 1 species
UACGUAGGGGGCUAGCGUUGUCCGGAAUCAUUGGGCGUAAAGAGCGUGUAGGCGGCCCGGUAAGUCCGCUGUGAAAGUCGGGGGCUCAACCCUCGAAUGCCGGUGGAUACUGCCGGGCUAGAAUCCGGAAGAGGCGAGUGGAAUUCCUGGUGUAGCGGUGGAAUGCGCAGAUAUCAGGAGGAACACCAAUAGCGAAGGCAGCUCGCUGGGACGGUAUUGACGCUGAGGCGCGAAAGCGUGGGGAGCAAACAGG